GGAGAGAGGUAGCUUGCUACUGAUCUUAGCGGCGGACGGGUGAGUAAUGCUUAGGAAUCUACCUAUUAGUGGGGGACAACAUCUCGAAAGGGAUGCUAAUACCGCAUACGUCCUACGGGAGAAAGCAGGGGAUCUUCGGACCUUGCGCUAAUAGAUGAGCCUAAGUCGGAUUAGCUAGUUGGUGGGGUAAAGGCCUACCAAGGCGACGAUCUGUAGCGGGUCUGAGAGGAUGAUCCGCCACACUGGGACUGAGACACGGCCCAGACUCCUACGGGAGGCAGCAGUGGGGAAUAUUGGACAAUGGGGGGAACCCUGAUCCAGCCAUGCCGCGUGUGUGAAGAAGGCCUUAUGGUUGUAAAGCACUUUAAGCGAGGAGGAGGCUACUUUAGUUAAUACCUAGAGAUAGUGGACGUUACUCGCAGAAUAAGCACCGGCUAACUCUGUGCCAGCAGCCGCGGUAAUACAGAGGGUGCAAGCGUUAAUCGGAUUUACUGGGCGUAAAGCGCGCGUAGGCGGCUAAUUAAGUCAAAUGUGAAAUCCCCGAGCUUAACUUGGGAAUUGCAUUCGAUACUGGUUAGCUAGAGUGUGGGAGAGGAUGGUAGAAUUCCAGGUGUAGCGGUGAAAUGCGUAGAGAUCUGGAG
rnacentral:rRNA from 1 species